UACGUAGGGCGCAAGCGUUGUCCGGAAUCAUUGGGCGUAAAGCGCGCGUAGGUGGCCCCAUAAGUCCGCUGUGAAAGUCAAAGGCUCAACCUUUGAAAGCCGGUGGAUACUGUGGGACUAGAGUACGGAAGAGGCGAGUGGAAUUCCUGGUGUAGCGGUGGAAUGCGCAGAUAUCAGGAGGAACACCAAUAGCGAAGGCAGCUCGCUGGGACGUUACUGACACUGAGGCGCGAAAGCGUGGGGAGCGAACAGG
rnacentral:rRNA from 1 species